rnacentral:rRNA from 1 species
UACGGAGGGGGCUAGCGUUGUUCGGAAUUACUGGGCGUAAAGCGCACGUAGGCGGCUUUGUAAGUUAGAGGUGAAAGCCCGGGGCUCAACCCCGGAAUUGCCUUUAAGACUGCAUCGCUUGAAUCCGGGAGAGGUGAGUGGAAUUCCGAGUGUAGAGGUGAAAUUCGUAGAUAUUCGGAAGAACACCAGUGGCGAAGGCGGCUCACUGGACCGGGAUUGACGCUGAGGUGCGAAAGCGUGGGGAGCAAACAGG